rnacentral:tRNA from 1 species
GCCCCCAUCGUCUAGCGGCCCAGGACGCAGCCCUCUCAAGGCUAAAACAGGGGUUCGAGUCCCCUUGGGGGCACCA